AUAAACGCUAGCGCUGUAUAGGUAGCGGUACCGUAAAUUGUGCAAGCGCUAUAGCCGGUACGGUAGCUCCAUAGUUGAAAUACGGUAUCGAGACAGCGAGCAGCAGGACCACCCGGAGCGGAGUCUUUCGUAAAAUGGCCACCGAAGCAGAAAAACUGGGGAUAUCUUCGAAGCAGUAUGAUAUAUUUUUAAAGUUUAAAGACCGAGUUUCUGAUGCUAUUCAGCCAUACCAUGAUGAUUACUGGCUCCGUCGGUUCUUGAGAUCAAAAAAGUUUGACAUAAAAAAAGCAGAGAG